rnacentral:misc_RNA from 1 species
GAUGAAGAACGCAGCGAAAUGCGAUAAGUAAUGUGAAUUGCAGAAUUCAGUGAAUCAUCGAAUCUUUGAACGCACCUUGCACUCCUUGGUAUUCCGAGGAGUACGCCUGUUCGAGUGUUAUGAAGCUCUCAAAACGCAAUUGGCUUAAAACCUGAUUGUUGUUUUGGAUUUGAACUUUGCCGUGUUAUAACGGCUGGUUUUAAAAGUAUUAGCUGGUACUAGAACGAAUUGGUUCUGCUCAACGUGAUAAUUAUCUGAUCGUUGAGGACAUUCCUUUCACGAGGAAUGGCCAUAGUAAAUUCAAUGGACUGCUUCUAAUCUGGCUUUAAUUCUUUAUUGGAUUAACCACUUUUCAAAUCUGACCUCGAAUCAGGUGGGACUACCCGCUGAACUUAAGCAUAUCAAUAAGCGGAGGA